AUGUCAUUUUUAUGUUCUAUUUGUGGAAAAACUUUCAGCUUCAUUAAAGCUCUGAAUUGUCCCAUCGUAAGUGUACAUAUAAUAAUAAUAAAUUUUAUCAGUGUAUUUUAUGACUAAAGAAUUUUUCGAGGAAAGAUAACUUUAAGAGACAUAUGCAACAGACGCGUGCUUAAAAAGCGCCGUUCAAUUUGCAAUGACUUACUGUGUUUACUGAAAAUGAAACAGAAUCGAUUAAUGGGAUAAACAUGGUUAAGUAAGAAACCAGCACUUCAAGAAAUGUUUACGGAAAACUUAACGAGAGAAAUAAAGUGAAUUAUAAUGCAUGUACUUUGAAUAAUGCUAACGAUUACUGUAUGUAUAAUUUUUACAUUUAUAUAUAUAUAUUUUUUUUAGUGUCUAUUGCAAAAUCAUCUCCUAUGUUAAUGUCAGGAUUAAAUAAAUUGCACAUUAAGGUGGUUCUUAGUCAUAUAGGUCAAUUUUUUUUUGUUGAAAUUCAUUCGGGGCACCCUCUAGAAUUGUUCUGUUAGGUA